rnacentral:rRNA from 1 species
GACGAACGCUGGCGGCGUGCUUAACACAUGCAAGUCGAACGGAAAGGCCCUGCUUUUGUGGGGUGCUCGAGUGGCGAACGGGUGAGUAACACGUGAGUAACCUGCCCUUGACUUUGGGAUAACUUCAGGAAAAUGGGGCGAAUACCGGAUAGGAGCUCCUGCUGCAUGGUGGGGGUUGGAAAGUUUCGGCGGUGGGGGAUGGACUCGCGGCUUAUCAGCUUGUUGGUGGGGUAGUGGCUUACCAAGGCUUUGACGGGUAGCCGGCCUGAGAGGGUGACCGGCCACCUUGGGACUGAGAGACGGCCCAGACUCCUACGGGAGGCAGCGGGGGGGAAUAUUGCACAAUGGGCGGAAGCCUGAUGCAGCAACGCCGCGUGCGGGAUAACGGCCUUCGGGUUGUAAACCGCUUUCGCCGGUGACGAAGCGUGAGUGACGGUAAUGGGUAAAGAAGCACCGGCUAACUACGUG